UAAAUAUGUUGUCCCCGAGCUGCAUUGUCCCCCUGGGAGAAUGUAGCCGCUGGGUGUAAAAAGCAAUUUUUACGCCUUCCGCUUUUGAAAAGGGGGCCUUCUUAAUCCAAG
rnacentral:ncRNA from 1 species